GAUGAACGCUGGCGGCGUGCCUAAUACAUGCAAGUCGAGCGAACGGACGAGAAGCUUGCUUUUCUGAUGUUAGCGGCGGACGGGUGAGUAACACGUGGAUAACCUACCUAUAAGGCUGGGAUAACUUCGGGAAACCGGAGCUAAUACCGGAUAAUAUUUUGAACCGCAUGGUUCAAAAGUGAAAGACGGUCUUGCUGUCACUUAUAGAUGGAUCCGCGCUGCAUUAGCUAGUUGGUAAGGUAACGGCUUACCAAGGCAACGAUGCAUAGCCGACCUGAGAGGGUGAUCGGCCACACUGGAACUGAGACACGGUCCAGACUCCUACGGGAGGCAGCAGUAGGGAAUCUUCCGCAAUGGGCGAAAGCCUGACGGAGCAACGCCGCGUGAGUGAUGAAGGUCUUCGGAUCGUAAAACUCUGUUAUUAGGGAAGAACAUAUGUGUAAGUAACUGUGCACAUCUUGACGGUACCUAAUCAGAAAGCCACGGCUAACUACGUG
rnacentral:rRNA from 1 species